ACUUAAGUUUUUGGAGUGACUAAUUUUCCCAUAGGUUUGAGUCUGAGGACCAUGCAAGACCUUGGUCCUCGGACUCAAAUCUAUGGGGAAACUAGUCACUCCAAAAGUU